GGGUUGACCUCGGAUCAGGUAGGGAUACCCGCUGAACUUAAGCAUAUCAAUAAGCGGAGGAAAAGAAACCAACAGGGAUUGCCCCAGUAACGA
rnacentral:rRNA from 1 species